AUUGAACGCUGGCGGCAUGCCUAACACAUGCAAGUCGAACGGCAGCACGGGAGCUUGCUCCUGGUGGCGAGUGGCGGACGGGUGAGUAAUGCAUAGGAAUCUGCCCAGUAGCGGGGGACAACUUGGGGAAACUCAAGCUAAUACCGCAUACGUCCUACGGGGGAAAGCGGGGGACCGUUCGGGCCUCGCACUAUUGGAUGAGCCUAUGUCAGAUUAGCUUGUUGGUGGGGUAAAGGGCCUACCAAGGCGACGAUCUGUAGCUGGUCUGAGAGGACGAUCAGCCACACUGGGACUGAGACACGGCCCAGACUCCUACGGGAGGCAGCAGUGGGGAAUAUUGCACAAUGGGCGAAAGCCUGAUGCAGCAAUGCCGCGUGUGUGAAGAAGGCCUGCGGGUUGUAAAGCACUUUCAGUAGGGAGGAAACAGUAGCCGGUUAAUAUCCGGUUGCCUUGACGUUACC
rnacentral:rRNA from 1 species